CCUACGGGAGGCUGCAGUGAGGAAUAUUUGUCAAUGGGCGGAAGCCUGAACCAGCCAAGUCGCGUGAGGGAUUAAGGCUCUUCGGGUCGUAAACCUCUGUUGCCGGGGAGCAGUGGUCCGGGCGCGUCCGGACCGGGAGAGUACCCGGUGAAAAAGCAUCGGCUAACUCCGUGCCAGCAGCCGCGGUAAUACGGGGGAUGCGAGCGUGAUCCGGAUUGAUUGGGUUUAAAGGGGUCGUAGGCGGGCAUUUAAGCCGGCGGUAAAAUGUCGGGGCUAAACCCCGGCCUGCCGUCGGAACUGGGUGAUUAGAGUGGGCGAGAAGGACGCGGAAUGCGCGGUGUAGCGGUGAAAUGCUUAGAUAUCGCGCAGAACCCCGAUUGCGAAGGCAGCGUACCGGCUACACACUGACGCUGAGGCACGAAGGCGUGGGUAUCGAACAGGAUUAGAUACCCUGGUAGUC
rnacentral:rRNA from 1 species